AACUGGUGUUUUUGCUUCUUGUCUGUUUAUAAACAGCUACAUGCAAAUACAUUUUCGCCUGAUUGGUUAGUCCAAGUAAACUGAGUGUAAAUUUGAUUUCUGAUUACACAGCCAGUGAGGCAGCAUCUAGUUUAGUAUUUGAUGUAAAUCCAUUAAGGUUUCUGGCAUGUAAAUUUGCAUUUGAUUAAUAUUUAUGACCUGAAAAGCUGACGUGAUAACACUAAUAAGCCUCAUUUUAUCCAAUAAAGACUAAAACUAGCCUCUUACCCUGUAAUAAUAACCCGUCCAUGUCUCCCACCCCCACACAGAAAGGUGCACAGGUUCUAGGCCCAUCCACUAUAGUGUGACGCUCUGUGUUACCACAGCUGCUACUGUUUAAUGUCAGGCUGCCCCUCUAGAAGACGACAACGUCACUCCGCACAGAAGAGGACCCCGGGUGCGUGUAUUUAUUGUCUCGCUCAACCUCCAGCAAAUCUCAUCUCAUCGUACGGACUUCUGAUAGAGCUGGAAAAUAGCACUGUUGUUUUUUUGUUUGUUUUUUUAAAUGCCCCUUCUGAGCUGAUAUGGCUUAUAUAUAACUUUUUAAAAGAAAGUCGUAAUGUUAAGUGUUGUAUUUAUCGUUUUUGGUUGUUUGUUUGUUUUUUUAAGUCCUGGUACAGUAGUUUUCUGUACUCUCAUCAGUAACUGUAAAUAAUUAUUGUUUUAGUUUAACACAGUUUUGAACUGUUUCUAAGUUGUUGUUUUUCCCCUUCAUCUGUCUGUUGACCACUUUGCUGUAGACUGCAAAAGAAUUGGCUCUGAAAUACCUCAAUACCAGAAGGCAGAGCUACACCUGUAUAAGCAUAAGAGUGCAACGAUGCUCCUCUGAUAGUUCGAAAGCAGUGUGUUCUUCUCUUUUACAGCUGAUGACUGUGUACCGUUCAGUUUUUAUUCACUUUUCUUUGUCGGGACUCUCUACGCUGACCAGUGGCCAGUUAUUUGGAUUCGGAUGCUACUGGCUAGCUGGUUUCCAGCUGCUCCAGGAUCUGUGUUCAUGCGGUGUAACCAGCAUGUCGAGGAACUCUGAAGAGAUUUUCACUGACCCCAGGUCAGCCAAAGCUGGUUGUCGAAGCUGCUCACUGGACUCUGGUCACUGCUUGACCCUGUUUGAGGAGGGAGUUCAUUUCACUUGUCUUGUAUCUGCUAUAUAUAUAACGGCAAAACCCAGACAAAUAAAACUGUACAUUGCCUGUAAAUAUUAGCACCAGUGGUGCAUCAAGUAAAUAGCAUGUAGGAGAGUAAGACUGUGAUAACAUUGUACAUGUAAGCAUUAGUCCGCAAACCAGGGAAUCACUAAAGUGCCAUUCAUAAUCAACUUUGAAAACAUUUACACUUCAAGAAAGCGAAUAGGUGUUGAAUUUCAACUUGCAGCCGGACAAUAAAUGUCACUCUAAAGUGUCAUAUUUCCUAAUAGGUUCACACAUACUGUAUUUAAUAAAACUGGAUUGGUUUGUAUCCACAAUGAACACGAAUUUCAUUGCACAUCUGUUUCAGCCUAAAAGGCCGUUAUAUUGAACGAUAUUAUUAAAUAUUAUACCAUUUAA
ensembl:lncRNA